UCAAGAGAGCAAAGAGUCGGUUUAAACCGUGUGCCCCGUCCCAACGUCGACUCUAUUAAUAUCCGCGCCUUGUCGUCGCUUCUCGAGAACGUGUGCACCAAUAUAGAGACAUUAAUAUAAUGAGACUGUUCUUUUAUUAAAAAAUCUUUUGGUUUUAAAAACGAAUAAACUGAACUGUAAUCACGUUCAUUAUUUUAAUAAAAAAAUAUAUAAAAGAAAAAAUAAAUCAUACAAUUCUAAAAAGAAUCGAGACGAUUUUAACGUGUUAAAAGUCAUUAAAGUUAUGUGUUUAAUUGUGAUAAAGAUGUUUUAUUUCAAAACAAAACUGUAAACGAGAGUAUAAACUUUGAUAUUAACUUAGGUAUCAGACACAAGGAAUGAGGGAAAGGAGUUGCAGCUUUAACAGGACAUAUCGUAGAUGUCGUACAAGUGCAUCGCAGUCAAUUAUGUGAUCAGCUACAACCAUUCGCUUCAUGAAGCUAUUAGGAACAAGUUAAUAGAAUCAUCGCAUCGUUCCGAUGGACGAUGGGUUCUCAUAAACAGAAAGAGGAAAAGAUACAAACUGUUAUAAUUUUAACAUAGUAGCCUACAGAUGUCGUACGCAGUCUUAAGCUCGAUCGGAGUCAGUGCAAAUAUCUAAUAGAUAGUUUCGCAAUGUCAUUUUACCCUUGUAUUCACUCACCUUUGAUUAUAUGAAAUGACGAAAGUUACAAAAAGUUGUAGAGUAAAAAUACCACCAACGAAAUCAAUCCGAUGGAUGUGAUCCAACAAAAAGGGCAAAGCCUUUGGGGGCAAUAUUACCGGUGCAUUGUUCGAUUCGAAAAGUGAACUCGCAUAAAAGACCUUGGAACACGAAACUGCUCGUUGAAGAGAAUCGCAAUACGAUGAGCACAGAUUACAAUGGGCACUGAUGUAAUCAUCGCAUGAAUACAUAUACAAUAUAUUCACGUAAACGAUAAGAGACGUAUAAUUUGCACCAAUAAAAUUUUUAAAAAUUCUUCUUGUCAAUUAUAUCCAUAAUGCAAUUAAACCAUUAAAUAAAAUAUAAAUUUAACUUUUAUAAUUCUAUAUAUCUACUCAAAAAAAAAAUUUCUAUAUUAAACUAAGCGUUUACUGUAAAAAAAAAUAAGUAAAACAAUACCUUAUUACAAUAAAUUGAUUGUUCACGCUCGAGGUGACCGGGCGACCAAUUCGGGGGCAGCGAGCGAAUAUCGAUUCGUUAUUUUUAGGGGUAGUCCAUCCGCGAACCCCACCUUCGUCGCGCCCCCGUUCGAAAAUUUAUCUGUAAUGAAUUAUUGUUAUGCAUAUUUUCACAAAUCCAAUAUAUUCUGUAAAUAGUUAAA